ACGCUGGCAGGAUACUUUACACAUGCAAGUCGAACGGCAGCACAGGACUCGGUCUGGUGGCGAGUGGCGAACGGGUGAGUAAUGUAUCGGAACGUGCCUGAAGUAUGCGGGAGAUAACUACGGCAACAAUAUUCUGCUGCUGCCGCUGUCGGGGGAAAGCGGGGGGACCUUCGGGCCUCACCCGCUAUUGAAGCAGCUGAUAUCAGUUCGCUGUGGUGGGUAACGGCUCGCAAGGCGACGAUCCGGCAACUGCGGUUUGAAGGACAGCCAUUACUGGGACUGAGACACGGCCCAGACUCUGAACGCGCGGUGGGGAAUUUUGGACAAUGGGGAAACCCUGAUCCAGCCAGCCCGCGUGUGCGAUGAAGGCCUUCCGGGUUGUAAAGCACUUUUGGCAGGAAAAACGGCACGGGAUAAUACCCCGUGCAACUGACAGUUACCUGCAGAAUAAGCACCGGCUAACUGCCCAGCAGCCGCGGUAAUACGUAGGGUGCAAAGCGUUAAUCAGUCUGGGCGUAAAGCGUGCGCAGGCGGUUCGGAAAGAAAGAUGUGAAAUCCCAGAGCUUAACUUUGGAACUGCAUUUUUAACUUCUCCGAGCUGGUGUGUCAGAGGAAGUUACGGAAUUCCGCGUGUAGCAGGCGAUAAUGCGUGUGCGGAGGAACACCGAUGGCGAAGGCAGCUAUCCUGGGUCUUACUGACACUCAUGCGGCGUAGAGGGUAAAACAGGAUCAGUCCCUGGUAAUGAUCCAUCUAAACGAUAUCAAACUUCAGCUGUUGGGGCCUUCGGGCCUUCAGUAGCGCAGCUAACACGCCGCUGAAAUUAAGCCGCCACAGGAAAGUACGGUCGCAAGACCAAAACUCAAAGGAAUUGACGGGGGCCCUACAAACGUGGACGUGUGGACCAAUUCGAUGCAACGCGAAAAACCUUACCUACCCUUGACAUGUCUGGAAUCCCGAAGAGAUUUGGGAAUUAGCAUCCGCGAGAACCGGAACACAGGUGCUGCAUGGCUGUCUGCAAACGUGAUCAGCUCGUGUCGUGAGAUGUUGGGUUAAGUCCCGCAGCGAGCGCAACCCUUGUCGUCAGUUGCUACGAAGGGCACUCUAAUGAGACUGCCAGUGACAAACCGGAGGAAGGUGGGGAUGGCGUCGAGUCCUCAUGGCCCUUAUGGGUAGGGCUUCACGCGUCGUACAAUGGUCGGGACAGAGGGUCGCCAACCCGCGAGGGAACCAAUCCCGAAGAACCGAUCGUAGUCCGGAUCGCAGUCUGCAGCUCGACUGGUGAAGUGGAAUCACUGGUGUCAGCAGAUCAACGGCAACCAGCGAUGAAUACGCGUUCCCGGGUCUUGUACCCACCACCCGUCACCUGCUUUGGUGGUUUUACCAAUGCGUUAGCCUAACGUAAGGAGGGCGAUUGCCACGGUAGGAUUCAUGACUGGGGUGAAGUCGUAAUAAGGUAA
rnacentral:rRNA from 1 species